rnacentral:rRNA from 1 species
GACGAACGCUGGCGGCGUGCUUAACACAUGCCAGUCGAACGGAAAGGCCCUGCUUUUGUGGGGUGCUCGAGUGGCGAACGGGUGAGUAACACGUGAGUAACCUGCCCUUGACUUUGGGAUAACUUCAGGAAACUGGGGCUAAUACCGGAUAGGAGCUCCUGCUGCAUGGUGGGGGUUGGAAAGUUUCGGCGGUUGGGGAUGGACUCGCGGCUUAUCAGCUUGUUGGUGGGGUAGUGGCUUACCAAGGCUUUGACGGGUAGCCGGCCUGAGAGGGUGACCGGCCACAUUGGGACUGAGAUACGGCCCAGACUCCUACGGGAGGCAGCAGUGGGGAAUAUUGCACAAUGGGCGGAAGCCUGAUGCAGCAACGCCGCGUGCGGGAUGACGGCCUUCGGGUUGUAAACCGCUUUCGCCUGUGACGAAGCGUGAGUGACGGUAAUGGGUAAAGAAGCACCGGCUAACUACGUA